rnacentral:rRNA from 1 species
GAUGAACGCUGGCGGCGUGCCUAAUACAUGCAAGUCGAGCGAACGGACGAGAAGCUUGCUUCUCUGAUGUUAGCGGCGGACGGGUGAGUAACACGUGGAUAACCUACCUAUAAGACUGGGAUAACUUCGGGAAACCGGAGCUAAUACCGGAUAAUAUUUUGAACCGCAUGGUUCAAAAGUAAAAGACGGUCUUGCUGUCACUUAUAGAUGGAUCCGCGCUGCAUUAGCUAGUUGGUAAGGUAACGGCUUACCAAGGCAACGAUGCAUAGCCGACCUGAGAGGGUGAUCGGCCACACUGGAACUGAGACACGGUCCAGACUACUACGGGAGGCAGCAGUAGGGAAUCUUCCGCAAUGGGCGAAAGCCUGACGGAGCAACGCCGCGUGAGUGAUGAAGGUCUUCGGAUCGUAAAACUCUGUUAUUAGGGAAGAACAUAUGUGUAAGUAACUGUGCACAUCUUGACGGUACCUAAUCAGAAAGCCACGGCUAACUACGUG